CUCAUUCAAUGUUAUGGGAGCUGUUGGGUGUGUGUGUUGUCUUCCUUGUCCUCUGUGUCUGUCCAUGUUGCUGGAGCGGCUGAAAGUAGGUCAAGGGGCGUGGCCGGGUGAUCCACCUACCUGCACAGCUGCUGGCUAUCCUGCAAUCUCUUUCUGCCCAGCUGUUGCUGAUCCUCUCAUCACUGCUGCAGUAUUUAGACCUGGUUGGAACCUGUCUUCGGCGCCAGAUUGUUACAGCUACCAAAGUGACCUACACCACUCGGCCUGUGUCUACGACCGCUGUGCCGCCAGCCUUUCGCUCCUCAACUUUUCAUCUCCUCGUUUGGAUCCCUGUGAGAAUUGUUUUUGGACAUGCCACGCUCUGCCCACGCCGCUCCAGUCCUGUCUCCUCCACCAGCGCAGCUGACUGUCUCAGGCUGCUGAGUCUUUGUUUGUGCCAUUCAUUAAAGACAUUCUAAACGUU